CUCCCCUCUGUCCUCCUUUUAGCCCCCCUUUAUCUUACGCGAUCUGGCUUUAGACAAGAUUUCCCCUCAGGGGUGCACAAAAGGAGGGAGAGGCUCCGAUCAAAGAAAAAUGUGGAAUAUUCAGAGAACACUCGAGAGAGACAGGUUUCUGGGAUGGGCAGAGCCUGCCCUCCAAAGGACCCCUCUUUUAUACCCUCCACUGAUGACCACUGGCCCUGCCCUCCAGAUGCCAAACAUCGUGGAAGCCUGAUUCUGGAAGACAAAAUGCCCAGUCCUCAAACAAACUGCGUGUGCUUCAGAGUUCUGCCUCUGGAGGAUCAAAAGGCAGUCUGAACCUCACAUAUCUGUCCUUUAAGGUGGGCUUUGGGCUAGCUGUGCCACUUGAAAGUGACCCAGAUGUGGGAAGGUGGAACAAGUUUCCUUUCACCAGGUAAGCCAACUUGGCCUGGAGAGUCAGGUGUGACCUGUAAGCAACCCCUCCUGGCAGGACAUCUCCUGGGGUAACCACAUCUCGGAGCCUAGCCGUGCCAACACCAAGCAGCUGCUGUGCUUGGGUGGCACUUCAGCGCCCUCUGGCGACCAUUCUCUCCAAUGACAGCUCAGAGCACCUCCUCCUGCCUCCUGAACAGACCCCUGGAUGGACUGACUGCCCUGGGCUUGUGCCCUGGGUAGUUGACUUAAUCCCUCCUCUCAUUCUAAAGCAACCAUUUUCCUCUCAUAGUCAGCAAAGCUGCUCAACUCCUCCCAAUCCUUCCCCUCUAGGUCAUUGAGCUGAACCCACUCCAAGUCAUGUGAUCAGAUUUCAAUGAGUCAGCCUCCCCAUCUUCAUUUCUGUCACUCGGGUCGAGAUGCAGCCUCUGCAGAAUCCAAAGGCAGUCAGAACUCUUCACGGACUGUCCAGUCACCUGGACCUCAGGCUACCUGAGCUGUCAGAAAGUGACCCGCAGAUGGGAAGAGCAGGACAAGGUCCUCCCUAUCAGGAACAAUGGUUUCAGCUCUCCUAGGAAAACACCGUGCAUUCCUGGCUCUGGAAAACUGCAUGCCAAAUUUUCUGACCAACUGCUUGUGGGUUGAGAGUUCUCCUUUGGGAGAACCCCAAAGUCAGCCAGACGCCUGACUGCCAGUCCCAGGGUGUGGGCUUUGGUCUGCCUGAGCUGACUGCAAGUGACCCAGAUGCGUUGAAGGUGGAACCAUUUCCCUUUUACCUGGAACAACCAAGUGCCUUCCAGGAUGGGGGUGUUUCCCCCUCACAGUCACCCGUGGCUCUCACUCCUCCCUAUCCCUUAGCAUCCCUCUUAGUCUCUGAGCGAGCUGAACCCACUCCAAAUCAAGUAACUGGGUUUACGCUAGAUCAGCCUCCCCUCUUCAUUUAUGUGACCUGUCUUGAACUAAGAUUUUUUUUUUUUUCCCCCCUUGGGGUGAAGGAAAAGAGGGAGAGGCUCAGACGGAAGAAAUAGAAGGAUAUUUUCAGAGAACCCUCAAGAGACAAGUUUUGGGAAAUGUGCAACCUUCCCACCAAGGAACCUCUGCUUUUCCACUCACCAUUCACGACCACCCACCCAGCUUUCCAGAUGCCAAACAUGGUGCAGGCAUGAUCCUGGAGCACUGCGUGUCGAGUAGCCAAGCCAACUGCCUCUGGGUUCAGUUUUCUGCCUCCGCAGAACCCAAAGGCAGUCACCACUCUUGCCAGCCUGCCCAACUGUCUGGACGUUAGGCCACCUGAGCUGUCUGAGAGCGCCCCACAGAUGGGAAGGCAGAAGAACAGGGUCCUUCCUCUCAGGUCAUUGAGCUGAACCCACUCCAAGUCAUGUGAUCAGAUUUCAAUGAGUCAGCCUCCCCAUCUUCAUUUCUGUCACUCGGGUCGAGAUGCAGCCUCUGCAGAAUCCAAAGGCAGUCAGAACUCUUCACGGACUGUCCAGUCACCUGGACCUCAGGCUACCUGAGCUGUCAGAAAGUGACCCGCAGAUGGGAAGAGCAGGACAAGGUCCUCCCUAUCAGGAACAAUGGUUUCAGCUCUCCUAGGAAAACACCGUGCAUUCCUGGCUCUGGAAAACUGCAUGCCAAAUUUUCUGACCAACUGCUUGUGGGUUGAGAGUUCUCCUUUGGGAGAACCCCAAAGUCAGCCAGACGCCUGACUGCCAGUCCCAGGGUGUGGGCUUUGGUCUGCCUGAGCUGACUGCAAGUGACCCAGAUGCGUUGAAGGUGGAACCAUUUCCCUUUUACCUGGAACAACCAAGUGCCUUCCAGGAUGGGGGUGUUUCCCCCUCACAGUCACCCGUGGCUCUCACUCCUCCCUAUCCCUUAGCAUCCCUCUUAGUCUCUGAGCGAGCUGAACCCACUCCAAAUCAAGUAACUGGGUUUACGCUA